UCCCAGUGGCUCAGCAGUAAAGAAUCUGCCUCCAAUGCAGGAGACCCAGGUUCAAUCCCUGGGUUGGGAA
rnacentral:tRNA from 1 species